CCUACGGGAGACAGCAGUAGGGAAUCUUCCACAAUGGACGAAAGUCUGAUGGAGCAACGCCGCGUGAGUGAAGAAGGGUUUCGGCUCGUAAAGCUCUGUUGGUAGGGAAGAAAGAUAGAGGGAGUAACUGGCCUUGAGUGGACGGUAAGUAAGGAGAAAGGCACGGCUAACUACGUGCCAGCAGCCGCGGUAAUCCGUAGGUGGCAAGCGUUGUCCGGAUUUAUUGGGCGUAAAGCGAGUGCAGGCGGUUCAAUAAGUCUGAUGUGAAAGCCUUCGGCUCAACCGGAGAAUUGCAUCAGAAACUGUUUGUCUUGCGUGCAGUAGAGGCGUGUGGAACUCCAUGUGUAGCGGUGGAAUGCGUCGAUAUCUGGAAGAACUCCAGUGGCGAAGGCGGCUCUCUGGUCUGCAACUGACGCUGAGGCUCGAAAGCGUGGGUAGCGAACAGGAUUAGAUACCCCAGUAGUC
rnacentral:rRNA from 1 species